rnacentral:rRNA from 1 species
GACGAACGCUGGCGGCGUGCCUAAUACAUGCAAGUAGAGCGCUGAAGAGAGGAGCUUGCUCUUCUUGGAUGAGUUGCGAACGGGUGAGUAACGCGUAGGUAACCUGCCUUGUAGCGGGGGAUAACUAUUGGAAACGAUAGCUAAUACCGCAUAACAAUGGAUGACACAUGUCAUUUAUUUGAAAGGGGCAAUUGCUCCACUACAAGAUGGACCUGCGUUGUAUUAGCUAGUAGGUGAGGUAAUGGCUCACCUAGGCGACGGUACAUAGCCGACCUGAGAGGGUGAUCGGCCACACUGGGACUGAGACACGGCCCAGACUCCUACGGGAGGCAGCAGUAGGGAAUCUUCGGCAAUGGGGGCAACCCUGACCGAGCAACGCCGCGUGAGUGAAGAAUGUUUUCGGAUCGUAAAGCUCUGUUGUAAGUCAAGAACGGGUGUGAGAGUGGAAAGUUCACACUGUGACGGUAGCUUACCAGAAAGGGACGGCUAACUACGUG